GCCGGCGUAGCUUAGCCUGGUUAGAGCGCUAGACUCAUAAUCUAGAGGUCGCUGGUUCAAAUCCGGCCGCCGGCA
rnacentral:tRNA from 1 species